rnacentral:rRNA from 1 species
GACGAACGCUGGCGGCGUGCUUAACACAUGCAAGUCGAACGGAAAGGCCCUGCUUUUGUGGGGUGCUCGAGUGGCGAACGGGUGAGUAACACGUGAGUAACCUGCCCUUGACUUUGGGAUAACUUCAGGAAACUGGGGCUAAUACCGGAUAGGAGCUCCUGCUGCAUGGUGGGGGUUGGAAAGUUUCGGCGGUUGGGGAUGGACUCGCGGCUUAUCAGCUUGUUGGUGGGGUAGUGGCUUACCAAGGCUUUGACGGGUAGCCGGUCUGAGAGGGUGACCGGCCACAUUGGGACUGCGAUACGGCCCAGACUCCUACGGGAGGCAGCAGUGGGGAAUAUUGCACAAUGGGCGGAAGCCUGAUGCAGCAACGCCGCGUGCGGGAUGACGGCCUUCGGGUUGUAAACCGCUUUCGCCUGUGACGAAGCGUGAGUGACGGUAAUGGGUAAAGAAGCACCGGCUAACUACGUG